rnacentral:rRNA from 1 species
CCUACGGGAGGCAGCAGUGGGGAAUAUUGGACAAUGGGGGGAACCCUGAUCCAGCCAUGCCGCGUGUGUGAAGAAGGCCCUCGGGUUGUAAAGCACUUUCAGUGACGAAGAACGCCUGGUGGUUAAUACCCAUCAGGAAAGACAUCACUCACAGAAGAAGCACCGGCUAACUCCGUGCCAGCAGCCGCGGUAAUACGGAGGGUGCGAGCGUUAAUCGGAAUUACUGGGCGUAAAGCGCGCGUAGGUGGCUUGAUAAGCCGGUUGUGAAAGCCCCGGGCUCAACCUGGGAACGGCAUCCGGAACUGUCAAGCUAGAGUGCAGGAGAGGAAGGUAGAAUUCCCGGUGUAGCGGUGAAAUGCGUAGAGAUCGGGAGGAAUACCAGUGGCGAAGGCGGCCUUCUGGACUGACACUGACACUGAGGUGCGAAAGCGUGGGUAGCAAACAGGAUUAGAUACCCCAGUAGUC